GAUGAACGCUGGCGGCGUGCCUAAUACAUGCAAGUCGAGCGAACAGAUAAGGAGCUUGCUCCUUUGACGUUAGCGGCGGACGGGUGAGUAACACGUGGAUAACCUACCUAUAAGACUGGGAUAACUUCGGGAAACCGGAGCUAAUACCGGAUAACAUAUUGAACCGCAUGGUUCAAUAGUGAAAGGCGGCUUUGCUGUCACUUAUAGAUGGAUCCGCGCCGUAUUAGCUAGUUGGUAAGGUAACGGCUUACCAAGGCAACGAUACGUAGCCGACCUGAGAGGGUGAUCGGCCACACUGGAACUGAGACACGGUCCAGACUCCUACGGGAGGCAGCAGUAGGGAAUCUUCCGCUAUGGGCGAAAGCCUGACGGAGCAACGCCGCGUGAGUGAUGAAGGUCUUCGGAUCGUAAAACUCUGUUAUCAGGGAAGAACAAAUGUGUAAGUAACUGUGCACAUCUUGACGGUACCUGAUCAGAAAGCCACGGCUAACUACGUG
rnacentral:rRNA from 1 species